rnacentral:rRNA from 1 species
GAUGAACGCUGGCGGCGUGCCUAAUACAUGCAAGUCGAGCGAACAGACGAGGAGCUUGCUCCUCUUACGUUAGCGGCGGACGGGUGAGUAACACGUGGAUAACCUACCUAUAAGACUGGGAUAACUUCGGGAAACCGGAGCUAAUACCGGAUAAUAUAUUGAACCGCAUGGUUCAAUAGUGAAAGACGGUUUUGCUGUCACUUAUAGAUAGAUCCGCGCCGCAUUAGCUAGUUGGUAAGGUAACGGCUUACCAAGGCAACGAUGCGUAGCCGACCUGAGAGGGUGAUCGGCCACACUGGAACUCAGACACGGUCCAGACUCCUACGGGAGGCAGCAGUAGGGAAUCUUCCGCAAUGGGCGAAAGCUUGACGGAGCAACGCCGCGUGAGUGAUGAAGGUCUUCGGAUCGUAAAACUCUGUUAUUAGGGAAGAACAAAUGUGUAAGUAACUAUGCACGUCUUGACGGUACCUAAUCAGAAAGCCACGGCUAACUACGUG